UUAGUGCUGUUUUUUAUAAUAAUUCAUGAGUGCUGUUGAGAAGAGCUGCUGUUGAGUCUGAUAUCAGUGUGUGAGUCUCUUCUCUCUUUCUCUGCUGGAGUUUGUGUUUAUUUGAGUGUGACGGAGGUUUUUGUUCGACGCUUUCACUAGAAUGAAGCACUGUGGUACACUUUUGGUGGAGGAACUAAACUGACCAUCGCUGGUCCCGCAGUGAAGCCCUCCGUGUCUCUGCUGCCUCCCUCUUCUCUGCAGAUCUCUGGAGACUCAGCCGCACUGCUCUGUCUGCUCAGCUCUUACUCUCCACAGGGGGCGCAGGUGAGCUGGACGCUGGACGGGUCAGAGGUCACCGAGGGGGUUCAGACCAGCGCAGAGAGCGAGCGGGACGGACGCUACAGCCGCAGCAGCGUCCUGAGCCUCAGCAAAGCACGCUGGGAAGCCGGCGAGCGCUUCGUCUGCAGAGUAACACAUGACGGAGCUGAUCACGAGACCUCGUUCCUCAAGAGCUCCGAGUGCUGAUGUUUCUCCAGUGAAGAGCAGCAGGAUUCACAGCAGUCUCCUGAUUUACAGCUCAAUACUCAAGCAGUCUUUCAAUGUGCUGCCAUUGCUGUUCAUUCAAUAAAGCUUCUGAACGCCUUA